CGUAGGGUCCAAGCGUUAAUCGGAAUUACUGGGCGUAAAGCGUGCGCAGGCGGUUGUGCAAGACCGAUGUGAAAUCCCCGGGCUUAACCUGGGAAUUGCAUUGGUGACUGCACGGCUAGAGUGUGUCAGAGGGGGGUAGAAUUCCACGUGUAGCAGUGAAAUGCGUAGAGAUGUGGAGGAAUACCGAUGGCGAAGGCAGCCCCCUGGGAUAACACUGACGCUCAUGCACGAAAGCGUGGGGAGCAAACAGGAUUAGAUACCCUGGUAGUCCACGCCCUAAACGAUGUCAACUAGUUGUUGGGGAUUCAUUUCCUUAGUAACGUAGCUAACGCGUGAAGUUGACCGCCUGGGGAGUACGGUCGCAAGAUUAAAACU
rnacentral:rRNA from 1 species